rnacentral:rRNA from 1 species
GACGAACGCUGGCGGCGUGCUUAACACAUGCAAGUUGAACGGAAAGGCCCUGCUUUUGUGGGGUGCUCGAGUGGCGAACGGGUGAGUAACACGUGAGUAACCUGCCCUUGACUUUGGGAUAACUUCAGGAAACUGGGGCUAAUACCGGAUAGGAGCUCCUGCUGCAUGGUGGGGGUUGGAAAGUUUCGGCGGUUGGGGAUGGACUCGCGGCUUAUCAGCUUGUUGGUGGGGUAGUGGCUUACCAAGGCUUUGACGGGUAGCCGGCCUGAGAGGGUGACCGGCCACAUUGGGACUGAGAUACGGCCCAGACUCCUACGGGAGGCAGCAGUGGGGAAUAUUGCACAAUGGGCGGAAGCCUGAUGCAGCAACGCCGCGUGCGGGAUGACGGCCUUUGGGUUGUAAACCGCUUUCGCCUGUGACGAAGCGUGAGUGACGGUAAUGGGUAAAGAAGCACCGGCUAACUACGUG